GUUUCAGAUGUCUUAGACCAUGAUUGGCUGAUUACUACAGAAAUGACAGAAGUUCAUGGCAGAGGAAAGCAACUUAGCUCAUGACAGCUGAAAAGAAAGGCAGAAACUCCAAAUGUCUUUCAGCCAUUACCAGAUUUUUAUCCCAGAGUCACAAAGAAAUAUCAGUGGCAUCCCUAAGAUGGUAUCUGUUGACCCAAAUUUAUUCACCCAAGGGACCCUGUUAAGUAUUCAUAACAUCUGCUAUCAUCAAGAAGAAGUGAAGAGCAACUUUCUACUUUGCCGCUGAGAAACAUUUCAGAGAGAAAUACUAACAAAUAUCAAAUAGGUGUAUUAACUUUUCAAAAUACUACUUUAUUAAAUGAAUUUCAUAGGUUUUACGUAUCACCAAUAAGCUGCCACAAAUAUUUAUGUUCAAGUCUUUGAAAAGAUGUAUCAAUUCAUUCUUUCAUUUUCUUUGGCUAAACUUGGACUGAAAUGAUUGGAUCAUUCAAGUAUAAGUUUAACUUCAACUGGCAAAUUGUAAAAAUGGUUGUACUAUAUGUUUAAGCAAUUGUUGUGUCAAUUAGUUUUUGAAGUAGAAAAUAAAUGAGUACAGAAAGGAGAA